GGGGCACCACCAGGAGUGGAGCCUGCGGCUUAAUUUGACUCAACACGGGAAAACUUACCCGGCCCGGACACUGGAAGGAUUGACAGAUUGAGAGCUCUUUCUUGAUUCAGUGGGUGGUGGUGCAUGGCCGUUCUUAGUUGGUGGAGCGAUUUGUCUGGUUAAUUCCGAUAACGAACGAGACUCUAGCCUACCAAAUAGACUGUUCAGCUUUAUAGCCGGAAUCACCGGGCGUGUAGCUUUCGGGUUGCGCGUUCGGCUCUGGUGACGUUGGCAGUGCUUCUUAGAGGGACAGGCGGCGGUUCAGCCGCACGAAACAGAACAAUAACAGGUCUGUGAUGCCCUUAGAUGUCCGGGGCUGCACGCGCGCUACACUGAAGUGAUCAGCGUGCAAUUUACGUUUGGUGAUCUGUCAAGAUUGCCCAGCCCGUUGAACCUUCUUCGUGAUUGGGAUAGGGGAUUGUAAUUAUUCCCCUUGAACGAGGAAUUCCCAGUAAGCGCAAGUCAUAAGCUUGCGUUGAU
rnacentral:rRNA from 1 species